CUACGGUCAUAUCAUGUUGAAACACUGUUUAUUGUAAGAUCACCAAAGUUAAGCAAUCUUGAGCCUGGUCAGUACCUAGAUGGGUGACCACUUGGAAAUAUCAAGUGCUGU